UUUGAAAUUACUUGGCACUGCAUCAUAAUUAGUAUUUUAUUUAAAAAUAUAAAAUGUCCACUAUUUCAAAAUAUACAUGUUAAUGAAAGUCCAAGUUAUCUAAAAUCUUAGGAGGAUAAUAUACCAUGAUUCAAAGGCUGAGGUAAAAGUUUAAGUAUACCAAUUUUGAUACCUAAUGCAAAGAGGUAUUAAUAAUACACUCACACCCGUCAUCCAUGUUCACAGUUUACUUACAUUUUCCUAUUUCCUAAUAAAAAUUAUGUUCCAAACUCUUGACCAUUCUCCUCACGGCUUUCAUUGUCAUCGUCCAUCAACUAUUGACAGAGUCUUCAAGGUCACACAGAAAACGCAGCAUCAACUUCAACCAUAAUCAUAUACUAUUUAUGGAUUAAAUAUCCCUAUUAAUUUCAUAGGCUGUGGAUCAAAUUAUCGGAAAUGCCCUCAAUGUACCUCCAAAAUCAUGCCAAGUAUUGACUUGAAAUGGAAUCAAUGGAAAACGAGGAGACAGACCGAGUAAACUCCCCCUUUAGUCACCCUGAAAAUUCAAGUAAUUGAUAUGAAGGCAAAUAUUGGCUGAGACCGAGACCAAAGAGUCAUGUGACUUUCUUUAAAUGGUUAAUUAACAUUUAAUCUCAAUCAUCACACUUUCAUAAAAACUAACACUCUUAUUAGAUAUAUUUCCCAUAAUUAAAUCCAAAAUAAAAGUCACAGGUUAAUGACUUUAUCUCUAAUGGUAAAACACAAAUCAUUGUUGCAUAAUAAGGACAAGUUUGUAAAGUAGAACAUAGAGAAAUAUGACACAAACUUUAAAGCAUGGUCUAAGUCAGGCAGUGCAGACAGACUUAAUUUGACAUAUGAGUGGCUUUGCUGCACAUAUUUAAUGUAGUUAUGAUUAAAACAGCUUAGCACUUGCGACCUUAAGUAUGGUCAGAUAGACAUACACCAAUAUACAUAUCAUUUAAAACAGAAGAAACACAAAUAUUUCUGAUAACAUGCAAGCAUGAAACUGGUUCUCAGGAUUCUACAUGGAUACUUGAGCUUGGUUAUGAUCCAGAAGGCUGACAAUAAAAUAAAGAGCCUGAGGACGGGGUUGUUGCUGUGGUCUUUGUUGGUAUGGUUGUUGGGGGUAAUAUGGUUGUUGAGGGAAUUGUUGUAGGUUGUAUAGUGGUUGGUAUAAUGGGGGGUAGUAUGGUGCAGGUCCUUGAGGUCUGGGUGAUUGAUAGUUUGGGUUCUAGGGUGCGGUCAUUUGUGGGGUGAUGUUGGCAACAAAGGGGUGAUUAGGGUACACGGGCUGAG
rnacentral:lncRNA from 1 species